rnacentral:lncRNA from 1 species
GGGUUUCAACUUCAUUCUUUUUCAUGUACUGAAAAUACUUUUUUAUUUUCAGUAAGAAACUUACCUAACUGCCUACCAUCCCCCAUGCUCAGUAGCCUUGAUGAUGGUGGCCCAUAUUUGUGGUGUAGCUUGCUGGUGCCAGGAGGGACAUGGACCUUGUUCUCAAAAAAUUGUGGUUAUGUUUUGUUGUUGUUGUUGUUGUUGUUGUUGUUGUUGUUGUUGUUUUUAUCUCUGGCAUUCCCUGAGAGGCUGGCACAGAGACUAGCCUUUGUUUCACCUCCCAUCAGGCUGAAGUGGCUUCCUAAGUGGAGUCUAUUGAAAAGAUUUAAAAACAUACUACCCAUAGCCACCUGAGGCAAGGGAGAGCAGACAAGACAAGCAGCAAACAAAAGCCUGGGAAGGAGGAAGCUGAUGAAGAAGAUAAUUUGUGAAAUAAGGGUUUUGCUGGGCCCACGUGUACUGAGGAAUCCACCAAAAGUAUGCUCAGAAAAGACUUUAGAGCAGGGGUCCCUAACCCCCAGGCCAUGGACUGGUACUGAUCCAUGGCCUGUUAGGAACUGGGCCACACAGCAGGAGGUGAGCAGUGGGCAAGCGAGCAUUACCACCUGAGCUUCGCCUCCUGUCAGAUCAGCAGUGGCAUUAGAUUCUUACAGAAGUAUGAAGCCUAUUGUGAGUUGCACAUAUGAGGGAUCUAGGUUCCAUGCUUCUUAUGAGAAUCUAAUGCCUGAUGAUCUGAGGUGGAACAGUUUCAUCCUGAAACCAUCCCCCCAUCACCCUUCCCCAUCCGUGGAAAAAUUGCCUUCCACAAAACCAGUCCCUGGUGCCAAAAAGGCUGGGGACCACCGUCUUAGAGGGCCCUAGGCUUGGACCUCUGGAUGUUCUUUGGGCUCCAUGCAAGUAGGAGUUGGGCUAAGACAGAAUUGUAGGCAGCCUAGCUAAUUGAAUGAUUACGCAGCUCAGAGUCAAUCUGCAAAGACUGGGAGAGUUUGUCUUGUUUUGUUUUGACCCCAGGCAUUUAAGGAAAUCUCUGUCAGGUCACUGGCUAACUGCUGAGGUAACAAAGAGACUUCAGUGACCACAUACCGUAAACAAAAUUUACUCAAACAAAUCAGUGAUCUAAAUAUAGCUACUAAAACUACAAAACUCAUAGAAGAAAACAUAGCGAUAAAUCUUUAUGACCUUAGAUUUAAGUUCAUCCUCUAUGGCAGUGGAUUAUUAGAUAUGACACCUAAAGCAUCAAUGAUAAAUAAAAAAUAGGUUAAUUGAACUUCAUCAAAAUUAAUAACUUUUGUUCAUCUCAGGACCUAAUCAAAAAACUGAAAAGACAACCUAUAGUAUGGGAGAACAUUCUUGCAAAUUAUAUAUCUGAUAAUGGUCUACUAUCCAGAGUAUAUAUAAAGAACUCUUAUAACUCAACAGCAAAAGGAUAAAUAACUUUUAAAUGGACAAAGGACUUGAAUAGCUAUUUCUUCAAAGAAGAUGUACAAAUGGCCAGCAAGUACGUGAAAAGAUGCUUGGUGUCAUUAGUAAUUACGGAAAUCAAAACCACAAUGAGAUACCACUUCAUACCCACUGGGAUGGUUGUGAUCAAAAGAACAAAAAUAACAGGUUUUGAUGAGGAUGUACAAAAAUUGGAACCCUUAUACAUUGCUUGCAUAAAUACAAAUUGGUGGUACAGCUGCUGUGGAAUGCAGUUUGGCAGUUCCUCAAAAAGUUAACAUAAAGGCCGGGCACGGUGGCUCACACCUGUAAUCCCAGCACUUUGGGAGUCCGAGGCGGGUGAAUCACUUGAGGUCAGGAAUUGAAGAGCAGCCUGGCCAACGUGAUGCAACCCCAUCUCUACCAAAAAUACAAAAAUUAGCCAGGCAUGGUGGCGGGCGCCUGUAAUCGCAGCUAUGUGGGAGACCGAGGCAGGAGAAUUGCUUGAACCCUGGAGGUGGAGGUUGCAGUGAGCUGAGAUCACAUACUGCAGUCCAGCCUAGGCAACGGAGCAAGACGUCAUCUCAAGGAAAAAAAAAAAAAGGAAAAAGAUAAAGUUAACACAAAAUUGUCAUAUAACCCACCUAUUCUAUUCCCAGGUAUAUACCCAAAAGAAGUCAAAGCAAAUAUUUAAAUAGUUAUACAUGAAUGUUCAUAGCAGCACUAUUCACAGUAGCCAAAAGGUGAAAACAACCCAAAUAUCCAUUAAUAAAUGGAUAAACAACAUGAUAUAUCAUACAAUGGAAUAUUAUCCAAUCAUAAAUAUUACAUUCCUAUUCCACUCCUUGCCCAUAAUACCUCAUUCUGCCAUGCGAUUCCCUAACUGUUCUGGGAAGGGACAGUGCGUGUCUUUUUGGACACUGAACAUUAUUUACCUGGCCUGUUCUUGUCACAUACCAGGCACUUAAAUAUUUAAACAUUGAAUGCCAUACUCUUUGCAGUGUUAUUUGUAAUAGGAAAAAUUUAGCAGGAAGGAGGUUAUUGGGGAGGAAGAUGUAAACUUACAAUACUCUAGAAUGGUUAAAUUAGGAAGCAUACUAAAUGAAUGCCUCAUAUCAUUAUUAUAAAGACCAUAUAGAAAAAUUAAUUUACAUUAUAAUUGCAAUUAUAUUAAAAUGAUGGAAAAUAAAAUUAACAGUUUGAUUGCAUGACUUAGGAAUAAUGUACUUCUUUUAGCUAGAUAUCUAUUGAUAUUUUAAUGUUUCUGCAGUUGUUUUAGAAAGAUAAAAUGAUUAGGAUUUUAGUGGAGAUGAGCUCUAUUUUUUCCCUGGAGUAAAAUGUGCAUAUUCAUUCAGAUAAUUCAUUCAAAAAUAUUUCAUGGAUAAGAUUGCUGUAGAGUAUUGAAAUAGAGUAAGUAGUGUGAUCAAAAGCGUAAGUGGGAGAGAUGGACAGAGAAAGGGAAGAUGUUGGUCAAAAGGUACAAAGUUUCAGUUAAAGAGUAUUAGGUUCUAGCUACGUAUUACACAGCACAGUAACUAGUUAAUAAUGUAUAUUUCAAAGUAGCAAUUAUAAAAGAAAAUGCAUUUUAAAUGUUACCACAAAGAAAUGAUAAGUAUCUGAGGUGAUGGAUAUGUUGAUUAGCCUGAUUUGGUCAUUCCACAGUGUACAUGUAUUGAAACAUCACAUUAUACCCCAUAAAUAUAUACAAUUAUUAUUUGUCAAUUAGAAACAAGUUAAUUUUUUAAAUAAAAUUAGGUUAUUAAAGGCACAGUAAAAGCAUAGGGGAAUAGUUUACAUAGACUAGAUUUAUUAGAGAAAGUAAUUGCAGGGAUGGAACAGAUGUAAAACUUAAUCGGGCCUGGAUUAUGUGACUACCUUGAGCUACCAAACCAAUGAAUUUAGGUUUUAUCGGAUAGUGAGGAGUGCUGACUGCCUUAAAACCUAAUGCUUUAGGAAAGUUAGUCUGGAGACUUUUUUCAGGGUGAAUUGGCAAGUGAGCAGCCUCAGAGUCAGAGAAGUGCAGCUUUCCAGACUAAGUAAGAACCUGAUAUAGAGGGCUAACAGUGAGGGCGCAGUAGGGGAAGUGAAGGGAGAGAAGGGCAUUGUCUAUGCUUGAAAAGGUUAAAAAGUUAACUUUGAUCUGCACUUUUCUCUCCUUAGUAUGCUCGAGAUUUCAUCUUUCAGCUGCAUCUUCUGACCCUGUUAAAAAGGGAGUACUAACAGUGGACUUCUCUGGAGUACUAACAGUGGACUUCUCUCCGUAGGGUUAUGAUAAUUCAGAGAGCAGUGUUCGGAAAGCUUGUGUCUUCUGCCUGGUGGCUGUUCAUGCGGUAAUUGGUGAUGAACUAAAACCACAUCUCAGUCAACUUACUGGCAGUAAAAUGAAGCUACUGAAUCUUUACAUCAAACGUGCACAAACAGGUUCUGGAGGAGCUGAUCCCACUACUGAUGUUUCUGGACAAAGUUAGUGAAGCUCAUCACAGCGAACCAGGUCUCUCAAAAGAAAGGACAGAUAGACCACCCUCAUCAAUGAAAGGAAGUUCUCAAACACAUCCUUUGGAACUUACUAUUGUUUCCCAGUUUUAGUUUUUUGUUUCGUUUCGUUUUGUAUUUUCUGUAACAGAGGACUAUCCUCAGUCUGCAUGUAACUUUUAUGAUAGUUAUUCCAAAUUCAAGAAGAAGCAGUAUUAACAUCAAUUGAUCGACACAAAGUAAUUUUUAAUUUAAUUCAUCAUUUCACAUGUUUGUACUUUGUCUUCCCAUUAACCUUUGCCAGUGUUAUGAUUGUAUAAAUUUUUUUAAAUGCUGGUUAAACAGGAAUGCUUAAAGCUUUAAAAGUUUAACAGUCUAAAACAUUUUUGCUUUUAUUCAACUGCAGAAUAAUAUUUUUAUUGCUACUUUGAGUUUUGUUUCGUAUCAUGUCCUAUGCUAGAAAUAUUUAAAUGAUGUGAAACAAAGCAGGACUAAUUUGAACUACAGCUGGACUCCGUUUGUGUGAUGGUGAUACAUGUCAUUAGUUGCAACUUCUUUGGGGUGAUCUAUAGUUUGAAAACUAAAACCUCAAAGACAGAUGUUACAGAAUCAGCCAGUUCUGUAAAACUGAUAUUGUCUAUUGGUUAUUGAUCUUGCCAUCUUUAUUUAAAACCAUGUCCCUUCUAUGAUCCCUUAAGAAAGCUGCACCAAAUCAUCUGCCUGUUUUUUCUUGAUACUUACUGAAAUAGAAGGUUUUAUUGCAGGGUUUAUUUUGGUUUGUUUAUAUCUUUGUUGUGAAUGAUGCUUUUUUGUAUUUAUUAAUAUCAAAUUCACUUAUGAAUAAACUUGAUAAUGGAAACGGACAAAAAAAAUCAAGUGCGUGUGUGUCCUUGACCGUCUUCUGUUUCUCACGUAAUAAACAAAUUAUCGAGACAUGGGAGUGACCAGCACCUUUUCUUUAAAUGGUGGAACCUGGUUUCCUUUUACCAUGAAAUUGUCUUACUUGAAAAUAUUGAUCCUGAUGAGAGAGAAGAUGGUGCCAAGGCUGUCUUUGUAUAAUGGGCUCAAAUUCUCUACCUCUUCAGGGCUAAUACUUUUAACUGAGCUGCUGCCUAUAGUGUCUUUUGGAAAACUACUUAAAGGGUGAUUUUCUGUUACUUUUUAGCAAAUUUUUUUAAUCACCUCUUGCUACACCCAUUCUUUUCAUGUGCAGCCGACUCAAAAAUUACCAGUUUUGGUGAAAGGCUAAAUUAGAUAAUUUGGAACCAGGAUACUAAUGAUUUCUCAUCUUUACUUUUUUUUAAUCCUAAUAUAAAGUGAAUUUGAUUGAAAAGGCAAAUAGCUAUUAGGGAAGCAGUUUGCCAUUGUUGCAGAGUUAUCUGUACUUUGUUUAACUGAAAAAAAUGUAGAAAUAUAUGUAAAGAAUUUAAGACAAGAGUACUGAAUGGAUGAUUUGUCAUAGGCUUUCCCCUUUCUUUCUGUUCUAGCAGCAGGAAAAGUUUCUCUAUAUCCUCUCCCUCUACCUGUAACAAUUUUGUUUUCUACUGUUAAUUACAUUGUGUAUUUAUAGUUCUAUGCUUACUGUUGUGCAUAUACUGGCAAUAAAACUGUACAUAACAUUACUUGAAAAAGUUAAUAAUGUAUAUCAGUUUUUCUGUCUCACUGUGUAACAAGUCACUCAGUUUUAUUUUAACUUUAGACGGUCUUGUAUCAGUGGUGGUCUCUUGAAUUUUGUAAGUUCAUCUGAGGAGAAAAGAUUUUUCAGGUGUAGCUACCACAAUCAAAGGUAUAUAGCUACAUACGCAUGUAUAUAUUACAGCUUAUCUGUAAGAAGAAAAUGCAUUUUAAACACAACUCUUCUCAGUAGCAUUUUAUGACCUUUGGAUAUGUUUGUAAUCAUUUCGAAUCAAAAUAUUGAUUUAAUUUUGACCUCUGGUUUAAGAUACUGCUUUAACUACUGUUGACAACCAAGUAGAGUGACUUAAGCUGAACAGUAACUAACUGGAAAAUUAGAUAAGCACCUGGCAUCUAAUGGCAGGCAGGCACUCAAGAAAUGAAUUAACUACAUAAUGGAAAAGUAUGGUUUAAUGUGUCCAAAUGAAAGCUAGUAGAUGUAAACAUGGAAAAAUUGUGUUUACAAUUUUAUAAUCUCAGUUGAUAAGACUAUAAGAAAGCUGAUUAUUUAAAUCACUAUAUACAAUACACCCUUAAUUUGUUCAUUCCAGAAACAUACUGAGAUGUCAGCUACUUAAAAAUGGUCACAAAAAGCUACUGUUUAUAUUUUUCCUCCUGCUAUUCUCUCCCAAAUUAAUUAUUAAUAAGUGUUGUUCAUUUACUGCACUGCUGAGAACUAAUUAAAAUUAUAUAUUCCAGAUUGUAAAA